rnacentral:rRNA from 1 species
GAUGAACGCUGGCGGCGUGCCUAAUACAUGCAAGUCGAGCGAACGGACGAGAAGCUUGCUUUUCUGAUGUUAGCGGCAGACGGGUGAGUAACACGUGGAUAACCUACCUAUAAGACUGGGAUAACUUCGGGAAACCGGAGCUAAUACCGGAUAAUAUUUUGAACCGCAUGGUUCAUAAGUGAAAGACGGUCUUGCUGUCACUUAUAGAUGGAUCCGCGCUGCAUUAGCUAGUUGGUAAGGUAACGGCUUACCAAGGCAACGAUGCAUAGCCGACCUGAGAGGGUGAUCGGCCACACUGGAACUGAGACACGGUCCAGACUCCUACGGGAGGCAGCAGUAGGGAAUCUUCCGCAAUGGGCGAAAGCCUGACGGAGCAACGCCGCGUGAGUGAUGAAGGUCUUCGGAUCGUAAAACUCUGUUAUUAGGGAAGAACAUAUGUGUAAGUAACUGUGCACAUCUUGACGGUACCUAAUCAGAAAGCCACGGCUAACUACGUG